CAAAAUGUAAUUUAAUAUAAAAUAUCUUGCUUACACCAAGAACAUGUCUGAAAUUCUGACCAUUUUGA
rnacentral:tRNA from 1 species